AUUGAACGCUGGCGGCAUGCCUUACACAUGCAAGUCGAACGGCAGCAUGAUCUAGCUUGCUAGAUUGAUGGCGAGUGGCGAACGGGUGAGUAAUACAUCGGAACGUGCCCUGUAGUGGGGGAUAACUAGUCGAAAGAUUAGCUAAUACCGCAUACGACCUGAGGGUGAAAGUGGGGGACCGCAAGGCCUCAUGCUAUAGGAGCGGCCGAUGUCUGAUUGGCUAGUUGGUGAGGUAAAGGCUCACCAAGGCGACGAUCAGUAGCUGGUCUGAGAGGACGAUCAGCCACACUUGGACUGAGACACGGCCCAGACUCCUACGGGAGGCAGCAGUGGGGAAUUUUGGACAAUGGGGGCAACCCUGAUCCAGCAAUGCCGCGUGUGUGAAGAAGGCCUUCGGGUUGUAAAGCACUUUUGUCCGGAAAGAAAUCGCACUUACUAAUAUUAGGUGUGGGUGACGGUACCGGAAGAAUAAGGACCGGCUAACUACGUGCCAGCCGCCGCCGUAAAAC
rnacentral:rRNA from 1 species